CCUACGGGUGGCAGCAGGGAGGAAUAGUGGUCAAUGGGCGCGAGCCGGAACCAGCCAAGGCGCGGGAGGGAAGACGGCCCUACGGGGUGUAAACCUCGUUUGCCGGGGAGCAACGGGCGCCACGUGUGGCGCCACUGAGAGGACCCGGAGAAAAAGCAGCGGCGAACUCCGUGCCAGCAGCCGCGGUAAUACGGAGGAUGCGAGCGUUAUCCGGAUUUAUUGGGUUGAAAGGGUGCGUAGGCGGAGCGUUAAGUCCGUGGUCAAAUUGAGGGGCUCAACCCCUUCCCGCCAUUGAAACUGGCGCUCUUGAGUGGAGGAGAGGUAUGCGGAAUUCCUGGUGUAGCGGUGAAAUGCUUAGAUAUCAGGAGGAACAUCGGUGGCGUACGCGCUUUACUGGGCCGUAAUUGACGCUGAGGAACGAAAGCCCGGGUAGCACAUGGGAUUAGAUACCCUUGUAGUC
rnacentral:rRNA from 1 species